rnacentral:rRNA from 1 species
UACGAAGGGGGCUAGCGUUGCUCGGAAUCACUGGGCGUAAAGCGCACGUAGGCGGAUUGUUAAGUCAGGGGUGAAAUCCUGGAGCUCAACUCCAGAACUGCCUUUGAUACUGGCGAUCUCGAGUCCGGGAGAGGUGAGUGGAACUGCGAGUGUAGAGGUGAAAUUCGUAGAUAUUCGCAAGAACACCAGUGGCGAAGGCGGCUCACUGGCCCGGUACUGACGCUGAGGUGCGGAAAGCGU